GUGAAAGAAUCUGGUGAUGAGACAGAAGAAAAGGAAAGUAAAGGGCAACCGUCUACUGAGGAGACCGAUCAGGAGAAGCUUGUGGAAGU